AUGUUUUCAGUCUCUGCAGAUAGACUGUUGAUGAACAGAUGGUCUGCAGGAGUCUGGGUUGUCUUAUCAUUCAAUAGUUGUUUGAAGUCCAAAUUAACCAACGGUGGAAAGAACCGUGUUCAAAGAGCCCAUAUGGUUUACCCGUGUGAAAUUCCAAUCAUCGUCAAAGUGUUUUUUCAGUUAUCUUACCAUUUAUGUCUUUUGGAGUUAAUUCAUUUGUUCCAGCUAUUUGUAAACCAUAUAAUUACCUUAAACAUCGCUGGUUUCCAUGUGUCUCUAAUCACAUUCAAUUUGGACCAUUGUGUAUUUGUAUGUACAUAACCUCGUUUUAGUCCAGUGAGUACAAUUAGUCAUCUACAUGGAAUUGACAAAGAUGUUUAUUUCUGACAUAUAAAAUUAGUAAGAACUGUGUUAGUCAGAGAGUAAAACAAGAAGAAUGGUGUUUAUAUUUUCAGCUCUGGUCCUGGUUAGAAUUUGCUUCAGGACUAAGAUGCCUUCAACUGACAAUCGUCCCUACAGCAAAAGCAACUCAGUCCUUUCAGCAUACUGAACAAAAAAAAAAAAAGGCAAACGGCUAACAGUUAUAUCAGAUCCAGAAGUUCGUGUUGGAGCUUUCUCUCCCUGCUGGAGUAAAAAACCCUGCAGUCGGAAAUGUGACAUCUAGUAAAAGUGGCUCUAAUUGUCCAUAAAAACCUUCUAACAAAGGGUUAGUCAGAUGCACACACCCCCACAUUAAGUAGAAAAAUAUCCUAUUGUGUCAGCAGCUGAGGGACAUACGGUAUGCCGAAGUUAGAUUUUAGAUACAGGUUGACCCCAAAAUUGGACUAAUCUGUUUCAGUUAUUUCAGAAAGAUUUCGUCACUGAUAUCUGCCACUUGUGAGUGAUGACACAAUAAUGCUGUCAGCUGGGUCCAACCUGAGCAGACAGCUGCACUAAACCGAAGCACAUCUUGAUGCGGAACAAAAACACUAAAGAGCAGCUGCUGCUUAGACUGAAUUUGGAUAACCUUCUAUGUGUGGAACUUAUUUAUAACCCUUUACCUUUUUCCUACAAGCUGUGAUACUGCCUUUAGAGACUUCUAUGACGUCUAUGAAUUUUUUUUAGGAUUUUCUUUCAUAGAUAAGCACCAGGUAAUUUUGAGUGAAAGGAUGAUACAUAGUUACCUCCACCAAGGAGGAUGUUUUUAGGAGGGUUUGUUUGUGUGUUUGUCUGCCAGUCUGUCUGUGUACAGGAUAACUUGAAAAGUUAUGAACAGAUUUGUAAUAACAUUUUAAACAGAGGUGCGCCUCUAGAUAUCAUGAUUCUGCACUUUUUUGGUUAUGUUUAAGUUUUAUUUUUGAGCUUUCAGUUAUACCUUGAUUGGUUUCAUUUCCCUUUUGUGUAAUUCUAGUUGUUUUUGGUAAUAUUUUUUUAGCUCUAUGUAUUUCUUGUUUACCCUCUGUUGCCCUAUUGUGUCAGUCUCCUUUUCCUGGCUCCCUUCUAGGUUCUUCUGUCCACACCUGCUCCCAAUCUGCUGAUUAGCCUGGUCUUUGUUCAGUCUUCCAUUUAUACACCUCCUUUUCAGUCACUUUAAUGUGGUUCCUCGUCGUCUCCUGGCUCCUCUUUAGUGUUUUUCCCUCAUGUCUCCAAAAUUUUUGUUUUCUGUAUUUGUUAUUUUUGGAUUUUUGCUUCAGUCGCCACUUUUUGAUUUAUCAAAACUGCACGAUACCACUUCAGCUUCUGUCUUUGUAUUUGGGUCCUCCAAAAACCUCCACCCUACCUGAGAGAAAUACAUAAGAACUCAAAAAAUAUAAGGAAACCUAAACAGAGCCAAAAAGUGCAGAACCAUGACAAUACAUUUAGACAUAUUUUGAGCGAUUGCAAGGCUUUUGCAACAUCUAACAGGUUUUCCUCCAGGAUCAUCCUUUAUUUACGUCCAUCUACCUCCCCAUCCACUUUGAUCGUGUCCCCCGAUCCUUAAAGAAAAACACCCCGACAGCAUGAUACUGAUAACACUUUGGUUUGUGGCAACUUGGAUUUUUAUGGCUUUCUUGUUUGCUUCCAUUAAGGCCAGACUGGUAAAAACCACCACUAAUAGGUGUGUCCUGGUGGGAACCCAGGAUUAAGUCUAUAAUGUAUCAACCUUAAAGGUGCAAAGUCACUUUUCUAUGUCUAUUCAGAGAAGCACCAAAAUUCAUUUUCCAUUUUAUGAUAAAAUAAGGUCAUAAACAUAUUACCUUGGUGUCUUGAUAGUAAUUUGUGAGCCUAAAUAGAAUUCCAACAGCGGGGGCGAUGAACAGGCAUAAACAGACAUGUGGUACCAUCUGCUCACAGUACAGAACUAUCAGGAAGCCAGAUUGCAACUGUUAAAAAGAAGCUGAAUAUUUCGCAAUGCAUCAAGGUAAACCGACAUUAAUCAACUAAACAGAUCUACAGCAACUCUAAGUUGUAGUCCAUCCCUACCAGAGCCCCUUAUCAGAAUUUCAAGGAAAUAAAAGGGUUUCGUACCAAACACAAACUGGGACACAGCAUCAAGGUAAGAAUAAUAAUAAUAUUGUAGGUUCUCAGACUUUUUCUCACAAUUCCAGUACCUUAGCAGCCACUUCUGAACUCUCUGCAGCUUUAGCUCCUGUUUAAGUGAACGACAGCAUUCAGACUCUAUUCCCAGUAGUGUUUGACUCUUAUCUCUCUUGCAAGGAAAUAUUUUGUUGCAUUUUUUCAAUCGCAAUCUUGGACAUUUCUUAAUUAUUUCCACACCUCACUGGGAAAUGCAAAUGACUUAGCUGCGGUAGGGUAAUUUGUUGUUUAUCCCUACAGACAUGCGCAGUAUUGUAUCUCUGUUGUUAUUGUAAAUGUAUACAAAGGUCUUAUUUACCAAGGAAAAAACAAAACUUAACAACUGCCAAAUUGCAAAUAAUACACCAGCAAGAGGUGGUAUUAUUUCUAAAGUUGUAUGUAAAACAAAAAUUCAAAACAAUGAAAAAUAACAUGACUAUGCACCUUUAAGACAAGCAACAACUGAAAUGUCGGCAUGAUUUGAAAGAAUUUCUUAACAACAAAUCAUAGCAUGGAGGGUUGGACAAGUGAAUCGAGGGACCUGCCAAACGACUUUGUGACCACUGACUGCAAUCUAAAAGCAAAAAACAUGUUAGAACUGAAAGAUUCUUUAGGAUAAGAGAAAAUUACAACAUCUUUAAUAACAACAAAUAAUUUCUAUCCAUUUAGAUCAUUUUAACAACUUCUUCCCUGAUCUGUCUGCUGUAUCUUGGUUUUUUUGAUGGUGCUCUGUGUUAUUAAAUGUUUUUUAACAAACCUCUACGGCCUUCACAGAGCACCAGGAUUAGUUUCCAUCAGCAUUUUUUUAUACUGGUCUGAAAAAAAAUCUCAUCAAAGCCUCCUAUAUUACUGAUUGGAAAGUGUCAGUAUGUGAAAAUACUCAAAUACUUUGACAUGUCACUAUAUACAGUCAGUGCCAAAUGUUAUUCCCUUUAUUAUCUUUGCUCUGAUUUAGAUGAAAGUGUAUUCAGUGUUAUUCUUUAUGUAUUCUUUAUUCUUUUUCUUUUUUUAAUAGGAGGAAGUUAUUUUCCAUUGUUACUUCUGUAAGUGUUGCAUAUUUUAAUCAGACAUUUCAGGAUGUUAUUUAUCAUAAAUUAUGGAAUAUCUGGGGCUUUUCCUGACAAACAAUAAAUGUUUUUGAAAUAAACAGCAGAUAAAGUGAAUACAGAUUGAUUGUAAGGUGUAAAACCAUGCUAUUACUCAGCAGAAGGAAAGAUGAUGCUGCUGUAUUAAUACAUCUGCAUACAGGCUCAGAGGCCUGUCAUUUUUGUAUCCUUCCCCAACAAUAAAAGGUCAUUUCAGAGGAGAUGCUGUGUCCCUCUAGUGCAUGACAGAGCCUGGAGAAGUGUUAAUGUCUCUUUUUUUCUUCUUGCCACUCAGUUUAUCCUCCAAUUUAUCUGCCGUUUCCCUGCUUUUUCCCAAUGUACAGGAGGUAUGUUGGUGUAUUAUGGCCCUCCAGCUGAAAAACCCAGCACCACCAAUACAUGCUUGUAUGCUGUCUGCAUCAUUUGUCCACUUUUGGAGCUUUAUGUGCAGUUGUGUGGUCUGGGAGACCAGACCAGUUCAUCGUGGUGUUAAUCCCAUAAAGAUGGCUGCAUGUGUGAUUUAACAAGAUGCUAACUCAUGUUAAGCUCAGCCUUCAAAACAGCAUGGUGAUAUUUUACAGCCUGAGAGAGGUCUGCAAAAAUGUCGCUCUAACUGUUGUGCAAUAUGACAGAGGACUUUAAAUUCCUUUGAUUCAGUCUACGCCUCUUGUCUUGAAUCUUCUUUUUUUCCUUGGCCUUUCUUUAUUUAUCUCAUACCUUUCUAUUUUUUUCCACUAGUCCUAUUUUUGCACCUGCCAUAUUCCACAAGGCUUUAUCUGUUCUAUUGUCUGUCAGCAUGAAAAAAAUAGUUUGAGAAACAGGAUUGUUUUUUUUUUCUAACCGUGACGAAUGACUAAAUCUGUACCAUGCUGAUAUGCACCCCUGCGCAAACAGAUUUCCAUUAAAUCUUAACAAAUGCUGA